UACAGAGGUCUCAAGCGUUGUUCGGAUUCAUUGGGCGUAAAGAGCGUGUAGGCGGCUUGUUAAGUCUUGCGUGAAAUCUCGGGGCUCAACCCCGAGCGGUCGUGAGAAACUGGCAGGCUAGAGUGCGGGAGAGGAGAGUGGAAUUCCUGGUGUAGCGGUGAAAUGCGCAGAUAUCAGGAAGAACACCCGUGGCGAAGGCGGCUCUCUGGAACGCAACUGACGCUGAGACACGAAAGCGUGGGGAGCAAACAGG
rnacentral:rRNA from 1 species